ACUUAGAUUCAACUUUUCAUAUUCCUAAAAUCAUCUGCAAAGCACCCACAUGUACAUUUCAUCCUUGAGUUGACAGAAGAGAUUUUAAAGAUAUACUUUUUUUCCUGGGAACUAGAACUUAUCACUGCUGGAUACAGAAUAUGAUCGGGUCCAGUAGACAGUUAUUUAAAAUAACUUGAUCUACACUUUUGAUCUAGUUCUACUUCUAGGAUCAUCCAAAAUGUUCAGAAACAUUCCUCGGACUGGGAGGAACCAACCAAGAAGCCAACUGUCUGGUAAGCUUUGCAAGCCAGGGUAGUUCUUGACUACAAAGACUAAUAAAGUAAAACAGAAGAGAAUUUUUCCAACAAAACCGGCAAAGUGUCAAGCUGAGGCAAUAAACACAACCCUCUUACAAGCUGUGAGUACCGGAGAUCGAACUCACGACUGCCUGCUUGCAAGGCAGGUGCUUAUGCCGCUGAGCUAAAUCCCCAGCUCCUUACUUAGAUACUUAAUCCCACAAGAUUUGAAUCUCUCUGGAGAGCUGCACGUUUACUGGAACAAUCCAACUAAAAAACUCUAAUCCAAAUAAAAACUAAGAAAUGCCAACAUCUGGAGUAGGAGAUCAAGAGAUGACAGAUCAAGCAAGCAAGAAAAACUACGAAACCGUGAAUUGAAUUCCAGCCACAUUUGAAUGCCACAGGCUGUUAAUUCCGUUUUGUAAUUCUUUCUUAAGCUGGUAACACUUUGACUUUAGUUUGUACUUUUUUCUCUUAAGGCCAUCUUAGUCUGCCGAUUCCUCAGUAUUUUACCAACUAAAUUGAUUUUCCUUAACUUCAUGGACAGCCAAUUCAGUCAUCUCUGUAAGAUCUGUUUUCUUUUUAAAUGAAUACAUGCUUUAACCUCAGUCAAAUGCUACCACCUGGCAGUUAUUGCCUUUGAUUUUAGUUUCAUGUUAUGUACCUUUCUGUGACUGAACUCUUCUUCCAUGUUCUACUCUGGUGAUCAAAACAACUCAGCAUGAGUUUCACUAAUGUCCCUCUUCAUCUUGAAAUCUCUCAAUGUAUCAGUAUUGUCUAGCAAGUUUCCCUAAAAGUUGAAGGUAAUGAAAUAUUGGGAAAUGUAGACUUCCCUGCAGUAUUGUUUGAUUAUACUCACAUCUUUGGGAACUGAGGGAGGAAAUUAUCAAAGACAAAGAAAGUUUUAUCAAAAAAACCUCAGGAACCAAACUGAAUAAACUCCUACUGGCAAAAGAUAAAGUAAUAAGACAAUCAAAAGAUUAGUUUAGAUAACUGAUUGAAUAUAUGAUUAACAUGGUAUGCUCAAAACUUAAUGGUUCACCACUCAUUUUUUAAGAAUUCUGGGAAACCAAAUCAUAAUGAAAUUGAGAGUUUGAAAGGAUCUUUAAAAUAAUAUUUUUUCCUGAUAAUGAGGACUGAGCCCAGGUCUUUCCAAUGAACUAUAUUCAUUCCCCCCCCCCCUUUUAUUCUUCAUGAUUACAGCAGGGGUUGCAGCGAAUGGUUCCAAGUCUAGCCCUGGUGUCAAGAAAGGUUCGACAGAAUUGAAUUUUCAACAUUACAGGGCCCCAGCUAAUCACAUAUGCGUAUUUCUUGGCGUCUAGUCCACCCCUUCUAUAAAUUAGAACACUUCUGUGUGCUUGGGGGUGGAGGCAAGACAGACUAGUUACCCUCCCAAUUUGGCCUAGUUGUGCAAAAAACCUACUUUUCCCAUUUUUAUAGGCUGCAUUUGAGCUGUUGCUGGCAAGCAGGCAAAUGAACCCAGAUAGUUGGGUUCCUGAUUCAGGCCUCUCCUCCUCUUGCCACAAGAGUUAUUGAGUUCAGAAAGCUACAUACGCACUGCUUUCUGCGGGAACUAUACCUCACAGUAAUCAAAUAGCUAUUGUGGAAAAUGUCAAGGGUCAUUCUACAUAAUUUUUUGGGAAAAAGUACUUCAAAAUUAAAUCGUGGUUAGAUCUUGUCCAAGGCCUCAUAUUUUGCCAUGCGAGCCAACUAUGGUUUGCAGAAACAUAACUCCAUGUGACUCUAACAUUGUGACACUCCAGGACAAAGUACAUACAUACAUACAUCCGCCUAAGACAUCCUGGUUCCUUGAGAACCAAGUCAAAAAAAAAAAGGUUUUACCUGGGGUAAAGGACAAACUUAUUAACCUGUCAUCUCUCUCACUGUCAUUAUCAACAGAAGAUCCUCAUUAGGGAAGAUCACUGCCACCUUCUGAAUCAUCUGAAGUGAUCCUCAUCUACACAAAAUCCUUCUCAACACAAGAGCACCGACACCAUCUGGGUAUUUUGAUAAUCCUGACAAUCCCUUCACCAUUUAGUUCAGUGUAAUUGUGAUCAAGGUUUUGGCUACCUUGUCGACUUCUGCUCCCUGUGAACAACUGGCUAUCCCAGAUCUCCACUACAUCACUAUCUUGUCUCUUGGUUUUUCUUUUCACCGUGCAUCACAACCCCUUGCAGGAAAACGGGACUCACUACCAGAGUCACCGACAGGAAAGUUCUAAUUUCUUCAGAAUUACAGCCAUCAAAGAAGACUAUCACCACUUUGCAACAUCUUGUAAGUUAAUGGAUCUAGGAAGGUUCAUCAAGGCUGUUAAAUAGUAAAAGCACUAUGUAAACUACAAAUGGUUUUUAAUGCCUUUGAAACCACACAUUUGAAUCUUCAAAUCUUGAUCGUUUUUCUUUUUUUCACAUACUUCCUAUUUUACUGUCACUACUCUAGAGGUGGUAAAUGGUUUCUGCCUAGAUUACAUGGUAGCAUGUCACCUUGCUCCUCCCUGACUAACCACCUCUACUACUACUGCCAACCAUGGUUACACAACAUUUCCUACAAAGCUUAAGAUACUGAUGUUUGUAUCUAACCUGAUUCUCAUUCAACUGAACAAGGGCACAGGCAUGUAUUAGAACUUUAUAAAAAACAGCUGAUAGACCUCUAAUGUUCAUGCAGUCACCCAUCCAAUAUUCCACAAUAUUGGUAAAGUGACUUUCCUAAAUCAUAAUAGGUUAGCUCCCACCUCAAAAAACUCAAUGGUUUGACACUACUUUAAAAACAAAAACCCCAAACAGUAGAGGUAGUAUGCACAAUUUCUAACAUCUGUGAGACACAGUACAGAAAAAUGAUAAAAGUUUGUUUUCUAAUGCCAAAAUGGACACCAGGUCUGCUAAUUAAUAGCUGUGUGACUCAGAGAAAGUUGGUUAUGUCUUCAUUUGUUAAUUAAGGGUAAUAAUUCUAUCUCAUAGCAUUGUUGUCAAGAUUAAAUGAGUUUAUCUGUAAAGUACUUAAAAUAGUUCCUGACACACAGUAGAAAUUUCAUAAAUCUUAAGUUUUUAUUCAUGUCUACCAAAUUUAUUUUUUAUUUAUUAUUUCUAUGAAUUUUACUUAUUAUUUUCUAUGAAUUUCCCUAUUGUAGCAAACAGCACUGCCUGUGAGACCUAAAAACUCCUCUAAACACAGGGAAGCAUGGACUUUGAAAGGUGCUAUGUAUAUAAA